GAUGAACGCUGGCGGCGUGCCUAAUACAUGCAAGUCGAGCGAACGGACGAGUAGCUUGCUUUUCUGAUGUUAGCGGCGGACGGGUGAGUAACACGUGGAUAACCUACCUAUAAGACUGGGAUAACUUCGGGAAACCGGAGCUAAUACCGGAUAAUAUUUUGAACCGCAUGGUUCAAAAGUGAAAGACGGUCUUGCUGUCACUUAUAGAUGGAUCCGCGCUGCAUUAGAUAGUUGGUAAGGUAACGGCUUACCAAGGCAACGAUGCAUAGCCUACCUGCGAGGGUGAUCGGCCACACUGGAACUGAGACACGGUCCAGACUCCUACGAGAGGCAGCAGUAGGAGAUCUUCCGCAAUGGGCGAAAGCCUGACGGAGCAACGCCGCGUGAGUGAUGAAGGUCUUCGGAUCGUAAAAAUCUGUUAUUAGGGAAGAACAUAUGUGUAAGUAACUGUGCACAUCUUGACGGUACCUAAUCAGAAAGCAACGGAUAACUACGUG
rnacentral:rRNA from 1 species